rnacentral:rRNA from 1 species
AUUGAACGCUGGCGGCAUGCUUUACACAUGCAAGUCGAACGGCAGCGCGGGGCAACCUGGCGGCGAGUGGCGAACGGGUGAGUAAUACAUCGGAACGUACCCAGAAGUGGGGGAUAACGUAGCGAAAGUUACGCUAAUACCGCAUACGUUCUACGGAAGAAAGUGGGGGACCUUCGGGCCUCAUGCUUUUGGAGCGGCCGAUGUCAGAUUAGGUAGUUGGUGGGGUAAAGGCUCACCAAGCCGACGAUCUGUAGCUGGUCUGAGAGGACGACCAGCCACACUGGGACUGAGACACGGCCCAGACUCCUACGGGAGGCAGCAGUGGGGAAUUUUGGACAAUGGGCGCAAGCCUGAUCCAGCAAUGCCGCGUGCAGGAAGAAGGCCUUCGGGUUGUAAACUGCUUUUGUACGGAACGAAACGGCUCUGGUUAAUACCUGGGGCUAAUGACGGUACCGUAAGAAUAAGCACCGGCUAACUACGUGCCAGCCGCCGCGGUAAUAC